rnacentral:lncRNA from 1 species
AGAAAACCCAAGCCUGAGACAAUCGCUCUGCUAAGUGCCCUUGAAAAGGGUACACUGGGGUCGGCAACAAAGCCUGACCAUUAAAGAGAAAAAGAAAUAGGAUUAGAAAAGAAAAAAGAGAAUGAUAGGGAAAAUAUUUUUUUAAGUCAAAAAAAAAUCAGAAGAGCACAAGUACUGCCACAAAAAAGUAAAGCAGGUAGUUAGGGAGAAAGGCCUGAUAACCUCUUUGAAGCUCUGACUACAUUAGAAGGCCUUGCAAGAUAGUCCUUAAUUCUAUGUGCAGGGAGAGCACCUUUCCUGUCUAUUGUUCUUCUGGAUUCUAAACCACUGACCCCUCUAUGCUUUCUAAAUGGAAAAUGACUUCAAUUUAAAAGAGUUCCCCCAUAGCAUUCUCUAUAUUCCAAAUGGGAAAGCCUGGGUUUGUCUUUGUGCAUUUCAUCUGCAGUAAUCUGAAAUCUAACACCACUCUCUUCCUUUCUCCAAUGAUCGAAUAAGGGGUGGGCAGCAACAAGGAUCCGUGGGCGAGGGAUAAACCCAGAAUAAGAUGAGAGCAUUUAGACCUUCUGACUGUGUAUGCUAUGACACUAAAGACUCUAACAACACGCUAACAGUAAACAUAAAUCUAAGUCUUCGUCAGAGUAUCAAAUUUCUUGCCCUGUCUGCAUAUUGUAUCUAAACAUGGACAUUAUAAAAAACUAAUAAAAAAUAAACAUGGACAUUAUAAAGCUGGGUGGAAAUAAAAGAGAAUAAUUUAAUUAAUUCAUUCAAACAGGUGGUGAGGUUUUUUUUUAUUUUUAGUUUUUGGAAGUUUAUUCAUUUUUGAGAGAGAGAGUGGGGGCUGGAGGGGCACAGAGACGGGGAGACAAAGAAUCCGAAGUAGGCUCCAAGCUCUGAGCUGUCAGCACGGAACCCAACACGGGGCUCAAACUCAUGAACCAUGAGAUCAUGACCUGAGUCAAAGUUGGAUGCUCAGCCGACUGAGCCACCCAGGAGCCCAUUUUCAACACUAUGUUAAAUAACAGUGGUGAGAGUGGACAUCCUGAGACAGGUUCUCUUCUUAUGUCCUCUUAAUAGAUGAAGAAACUGAGGCCCAAGAUCCCAUAGAUAGGGUGAGGUUGAGCCAAGUUUGGAACUCAGAUAAUAGGAGUCAAGAGACUGUGUGCUUAAAUUAACCUCUUUAUAAUGUCACCCUGCAUCAUGUAAUGUGGUAGGCAAGAGGAGUCAAGGCUAUAGGAGUUCAGAAAAGGGAAAGGUUGAUAGGGAAAGAUAUAGUCAAGGCAUGCUUCAAGGGAGAGGUAGUACAUGAUCUUGGCCUUAAAGGAUAUGCAGAUUUGAGUCAGCAGAGAGUGAAACGGAGGGCCCCCAGGGUGGAACGAGAAAGCAUUGAAUGCAGUGCAAAGUCAACAUAAGACAGGACUAUAAUGAGGGACUCCUUUGAAUGGGCUGUGUGAGAAGUAAAAUAAGUCAAACAAAAUCGAGCUGGAUUAAAGAAGACCUUGGCCAUCAGGCAGAAUGUCUGACAUCAUAGGAAAUAGGAAACUGCCAAGGGUAGUAUUAGUCUAACUCAAGUAUUGAAGGCACUAACAAUGGUAUGCAACGUGGAUUGUACCUAGAGGGAAGCCCAAAGAUUUGUAAGGAGAUUUGUAAGAAAGAAUGAUAUGAAAAAUGUUUUAAAGAAAAAGUGACAGGACUCACGGACUGUGAUGUGUUAAAGGAAAGUAAAUGAACUCAUCAUACUAACAAUAACCAAUUUUUACUGAGGAUGUACUAUAUGCUAUAAUCACUGACAUGUAAUCAUGCACUAAUUUUCAUUAUGAUUUAGAAAUUAAACCAAGGUAUGUUCUAAUCCUAGAAUUUCUGUGAUUAUCUGUCAAAGUCAACUAAGACAUCAAUUUUUUCAAAUAGUAUCAUGAGGGGUAUUAUAAUACCACUUAACAGAGUGAGGGAGUAUGGAGGUUUAAUGGUAGAGAAUGAUAAUUUUGAUUGAAGGCAGGCACACUAUUCGAGUGUAGUAUAACCUAUUGGGUAAUAAUAAUAAUGAUAAUAAUAGCAUAGUGCUUAUUAUAUUGUUCUACAUACAUGUCAUAACUCAGUUAAGAUAGAAAUACUUAUAGUGCUCCCUAUUUAAAUAACAAUAGACCUUAUAUGUCUUUAUAGUAUGCUAGACACUGAGAUAAGUUUUUAUUAUUUUUUACUAUUUUUUAAAGGUGUUGUUUAUUUUUUUUAUUUUUCUUUUUUGAGAGAGAGAGAGGGUGCAAGUGAGCAAGGGGCAGAGAGAGGGGGAGAGAGAGAGAGAGAGAGAGAGAGAGAGAGAGAGAAGUAUCCCACAAGGGGCAGAGAAAGAAAAAGAGAGAGAGGGAGAUAGAAGCGGGGCUCACCCAAAGGGGGGAUCGAGCUCACCCAAAGUCAGGCUCAAGCUCACAUGAUGCAGGGCUCAAACUCAUGAAUGGUGACAUCACGAUCCGAGCUGAAGUCAGAUGCUUAACCGACUGAGCCACCCACGCGCCCCAUGAGAUAAGAUUUUGAAUAUAUUAACUCAGUUAAUCCUCAAAACACACACACACACACACACACACACACACACACACACACACAAAGACAUGAAGUAAAUACUAACAUCUUCAUUUUCCAGAUGAGGAAUCUCUAGUUCAGAGAAGUUAUAUAACUUGCCUGCCAUCACAGAACUAAUGAGCAACAGAGUCCAUAUGUGAAGCCAGGUGGCUCUGGUUCUAGACUGUGUGCCCUUAACAACAGUUCUACAAGAUCAUGAGCUUUGAGGUCACACCAGCCUGGAUUCAAGUAUCAGCCUUGCAACUUAACAGUUUGUGAAACAUUGAAUGUGUUCCUUUUUGUCUCUAAGCCUGUUAUUCCAUAGUAAAUAGAGGGCUAACUAUGGAGAUUAAGCUCCAUUACCUAAAUCUGUGUUUAGCACAGUGUUUCCACAUAGGAAGUACUCACUGUGUGUUUUAUGAAUAAGUAAAUGGAUAAAAUACAUUACUCAUGCUACACAGUUAACAUUUUUUUUGUAUACUACUUAACAUUAUUUAAUUUUUCUGCAAAUGGAUUUUUCUUGUGAAUCGAUCUAGACUGUACUCAUUCUGAGGGCAAAACGUGGGCUUUUUACGUCUAUAUUUGCUCCAGUGCUCCAAACAGUAAUAAGCUGCUCCAUAAGGAUAACCUCCAUGAAUGAAACACCACUAUGGGCCAGACAUUGCAUUAAGUAUUUAAGUCUCUUAGCAAUCCUAUAUAGGGAGUACAAAUACAAAUUCCAAAAAUAGGACUGUACCUUAUAGAGAUAAAGUGGUUCUCCCAUAGUCACAUAAUCAGUCCAUGCAGUAUCAGGAAUCAAAUCCAGCUCUGUUUGUCUCCAAAAUACUUGAGCUUAACCACUAUGCCCUAUUGCCUCCCCAAAGCCCUGAUUGAUGCGUAAUUUGACAAUGUGUCAGGGUCCAUCAUCACCUGCUUUUGGAGAAGAACUUCUUGUGUCUGUAGUCCUGGUCUGUUUGGCAGACUUCCAAGCUCGUGGCUUUUCCAUAGGUCCUUCCUCUUAGAGACUCAAGCACAGCCUGUAGAACCAAGAGAUAAGACACAGAAAGAGGUUGCUGUUGUAAGUGGCCCUGCUAGGACAUGGAGGCAGGAGGAAGUUUCCUGCCUUCUCAGUAUUUUAUGACUUGAGCAUUCUCUGCUUAAUGGCCUUUAACUGAUCCACUGUGAAAAUUCAGUACUCAACGGGUCCUCAACAUUUCUGAUUUUGUACCCGUAGUGAAGUGACCUUGUGGCUGAUCAAAAAGAGAAUCUUUAAAGCUCACAGUGGAAAAAGCAUGGCUCCUAACCUUCUACAGAAUUGUUUUUAAUACUUCCUGCAGGCUGUUAUUGGUAUCUUUAUUUAGGCUGUAUUUCUUCGCUUCAGUGUCUAUGUUUAGCAGAUAUAUAAAGGAGCAAAUGGGUUUAAUGGCCUGAAGUGGCAGAGCAAUGAUAUGUGGGCCUCCUCAGAGCAACAAAAGAUCAAAAGACCAUGGGGGAAACUUCCUGUUUCCUGGUGACUAAGAGUCAAAUUUCUUUUACCUGUGAGUCAAGGGGAAAUUCAUGACCACCCUGUAUACUUUGAGUUCUUCCUUUGAAAGACUCUUCCUGCAGAUAGAGUAUGACAGGCUGGGGGACAGGGGAGUUUCUUUAAAGGGCCAUGCAGAUAAUCCUCUCAUCUGCUGAUUUACUUUGUCUCACUGUGGGUGGUAUAGACUCACAUUCCCCUUAGGGGUAAUGCAGGGUUUUAAUCAAACUAAACAGAUAAGCACUGGAUCUGGAUAUCUACACAAUCUAGGAACUGCGGACUUCUCUAGGGCUCUGCAUCCUGGAUCCCAAGGAGUAGUGUGGGCACUAUUAGAUCUAUUUGGAAUCACUCCUCUGCUUUGCCAUUCAUAUCACCCCUGCCAUAUCACCCCUGCCAUAUGCUCCCACCAAAUAGGGUAUGACUUCCUCAUCAGGUAGCUCUGAUUCUGAUUCCAGGUUCUUUCUCUUAUUGACUAUGUGAUCUCAAGUAAGAUAUAGGACUUUCCAAGUUCUGUAUCUUCAUCUGAAAAAUGGAGACAAUGACAGUACCAACGCUAUGGAUGUAUCGUGAAGAAUGGAACUAAGUAUAUAAAAUAAUAACUAGACAUACAAAGACCCCAAUGAAUGGGUACUGAUAGCACAGGCAGCUAGAAUACUUUUCACCAGAUUGAUCAGUUCUGUAUUUCUGUUUGAAGGCAACCCGAAUAGACCUUCAGAAGAAAUUCUCGCCUUAUUCACAGUAAAAUCAAAAUAGUCAGGGGAGAGAAAAGUUUUAAUUCAUAAAUUAUUUAGCGUAAGCUUCCCCUGUAUCUACCCUGAGUUAAUUAUGAACACUAAAACCACCUUGCCUCACUUUCUUAUUUUUGCCAUAUAUUAAAGUGGGAACAAAAAACUCAGUACUGCCCCAACAUUGGAUCAGAUGAUUAAAUAAAUCUUCUAAGUCUGAAUGUCUCCUCUUCCUUUCUUCUCCUUGAUGAACAACAUACUAAGCAUAGGGCAAAGGAACUUCCUUUGGUUGCUGCCUCAUAAUCUCCCUCACUUCCCUCAUGUGUAUGGAAAGUGACCAAAAGCCAACCAACAAAUGCAAGUCUUACUAACUCUGAUGACCUGUCACCAACUCUGGCUGCCCUAACCUGCCCUGAGCCAUUCCAUUUUUGUGUCACUGGGGUGAUACAGGGACAUGUGACCAUUUCGCCAUGGUUCUACAUUACUGAACCAUGUUGGGUGGGUGUGAGUGUGGGUGUGUUUGUGUCCUUUCAAUCAUUACAGUUAUUUUUGAGUAUUUAUUUUAAUUUAUGAAAUUUUCCAUUUUCACUUCUGCUCUACUUCUAAGCAGAUCCCUCCCUGGUUAUUAAAGAAAAAGGUCCAGGUAUGCUGGUAUAUUCACAAGUGUUAUCUGUAACUUUUUUUCGUGCCCAAAUAAUGCAGUGUUCUUUGAAUUCACAUAUUCUUUAUAUUAUCACCCAGGUUUGGUAUUCACCCUUUAGGGUAUUUAGACACAUAAAAGGUCAUUCUUUGUCUUUACCAUGACAGGCAGAGCGCUCUUGGCAGUUUGGGAUGAAGACAAGGGAUGUUAAAUACCUUGCCAUCCAUGAGAACUUUAAGACACAAUGAAAAUUGUGCCCGCAUACCAACACUUCCUUUCUUAGGAAAACUGCAAUUAUUUGUUCCUUCUCAUUUUCCUAUUGGAGAAAUUAACUAAGUCUGUGCAUCUCAAACAGCAUCUUUCAUUCAAACUCAAAUUCAAGUCUUGACUACUAAACACCUGUAACUGUUAAGUACUUCGUCAUUCAGUACCCUGUUUAACCCUCUGAAAGAACUCUUUCUUGUAAGCUUCUUAUUAUCUCUCUUAUUGAUAGGGAAACUAAAGGUUCAAGAAAGAAAAUGACAGAUCCAUAUUUUGAUACUGAGUUCAGUACAAUUCCACUACUUCUGCUGCUUCUAUGAUAUCAACUUUUAUAGCAUUAUCAGGACUACUAAAAAUGUUCAUGGUAGUUAUCUCCCAAAGAAAAGAGGAAAAUAUGAAGGAAAAGAGAGUAAGAAAAAAAAGUAAAUAAAACACAGUUUCAAAAACCCAGAGUCUAAGUUAUAUAUAAAAGAACUUUUGAAAAGUGGCUAGGUGAAUUUAUGUCUCUGCUGACAUCAUGAAAUAACAACUUUCAAUUCAAAACUCAUUCCUGCUAUAUAUUUUUCUCGUAUCUAUUUUAAUUAAAAGGUUUAACUUGAAUAUUAAACUUUUAUGUCAUCCUUAUGUAUUUGACCCUCUGGAAUACUGCUGAGUAAUAUGACAUUCACAAGAUUACUAUUGUGUCCACUUACAUGAUUUAGAAUGUAUUCUCAAUAACCAAAGUGUUCUCCUGACUCUUUGAAGCCCAGCCAUCCUGUUUUAGAGAGCCUUUCACUCAGGCUUUCAAACCACUCUACAGACAUCUCUUUAUUCUCCUUUAUUCUAUAAAUUGGGAAAUAGAUCAAAUACAAGUUAAGUGGCAUAUAGAGGUCAAUAGCAGAUUACUUGAAGAACCGGGGAAAGACAUCACUCUGGACUCACAGUUAUCACUCAAAUAAUUUGACAUUUCUUCAGAAGGAUGAGUUAGCCUGUGAAUGUAGUAGGCAGGUUAAAGAGAUUAUUUUUCCAUGAGGUGUCCUCAAGAAGAUUCACAAUUAACUGCAACUCAUCCAGCACCUCCUUUUCCCCUGCCCCAAACUGUCUAUACAGAAAUCAGGUUCACUGUUCAUCCUUUCUUUUUAUUUGUUACAUCUGCUAGAGACCAAUGAAGAUAAAAAAAAUAUUUAGAGUUUGGGGUUUAAUAUAAGUUCCUGAAUGCAGUUGCUUGAUACAAUGCUUUUGUAAACAAGUAACCAAAGUAUUUUUGCAGUGUUUUUGAUAAACCACUGCUAACUGACAAAAAAACUUCAAGGAAAUUACUCACAUUUAAAAGUGACUCUUAAAAUCCCUAAUGGCAUUAAAUAAAUAACACUGUUGAGGGGGUCUAGCUCAGGGGUCUGCAAACUAUGGCCCUGUGGUCAAAUCUAACUGCUGCCUGUUUUUAUAAACAAAGUGUUAUUGGAAUACAACCUCCUCCCUUAUUCAUUUGCAUUUUGUCUAUGGCUGCUUUCAUGCUACAACUGCCAAGCUUGAGUAGCUGGGACAGAGACUCUAUGGCCUUCAAAGUCUACGAUAUUUACAAUGUAACCAUUUACAAAAAAAUUUGCCAACAACGGUUCUAGAUUAAACAAUAGAUCAGUCCUGGCAGGUAUGAAUAGUAACCUUGACUAUCUUAUAUCACUCAUAAAGUUUAAUUUCCAAGAUCCCAAGUAAAACUUUCCAAAUGUCCUUCCUUAAGACCACACAUCAAGUUUUGAACUCUUCUCUGAACAGGUCACUUUGCAAAAGUCAGAUGAGGAAAGCAGAUGAUGACAGUUUUGCUGAAAGACCACUCCACUUACGUCAGGAAAAAACAAGCAAGUGGGAACGUAUUUGGGGACCUCAAUUUUCCAUACUUUGCUCUAAUUACUAGAGUACUGUACAUGCAUAUCUCUUAUCUUUGAAUUUCUUGGCAUGAAUUUGGUAGUACAGUAUUACUUUGAUUAUGGCUUCUUAUAUCUGGCAUAAAUAUAUUCCCUCUGUGCAUAUUCUUUUUAGAUGCAGUACAAAAAAAAGCAUGAGUCUUCCUUUUUUUCCCUCUCUCGCCUUUUUCUUUAGGAGAAGCAGCUGUGAAGUCAUAAUUAUGUUCACUUCCCACUGGCAACUGGCAAGCCCUUUAUUUUUGUGUAUUUGGAGCUCACCAAGAAUAAAGUCCAUUCCCUCCUUGA